GCAUAACGCGAAGAACCUUACCUGGCCUUGACAUUGAUAGAAUCUGCUAGAGAUAGCGGAGUGCCCUUCGGGGAGCUUGAAAACAAGGUGCUGCACGGCUGUCGUCAGCUCGUGUCGUGAGAUGUUGGGUUAAGUCCCGCAACGAGCGCAACCCUCGUCACUAGUUACUAACGGUUCGGCCGAGGACUCUAGUGAGACUGCCUUCGUAAGGAGGAGGAAGGUGAGGACGACGUCAAGUCAUCAUGGCCCUUACGGCCAGGGCGACACACGUGCUACAAUGGGAUGUACAAUGAGACGCAAUACCGCGAGGUAGAGCAAAUCUAUAAAACAUCUCUCAGUUCGGAUUGUAGUCUGCAACUCGACUACAUGAAGCUGGAAUCACUAGUAAUCGUAGAUCAGCCAUGCUACGGUGAAUACGUUCCCGGGUCUUGUACACACCG
rnacentral:rRNA from 1 species